rnacentral:rRNA from 1 species
UACGAAGGGGGCUAGCGUUGCUCGGAAUUACUGGGCGUAAAGGGCGCGUAGGCGGCACUGUUAGUCAGGCGUGAAAUUCCUGGGCUCAACCUGGGGACUGCGCUUGAUACGGCAGAGCUUGAGGAUGGAAGAGGGUCGCGGAAUUCCCAGUGUAGAGGUGAAAUUCGUAGAUAUUGGGAAGAACACCGGUGGCGAAGGCGGCGACCUGGUCC